rnacentral:lncRNA from 1 species
GGCGGGCGCAGGACUGCAGGCUGGGGCUCCGCUCCCCGGCGGGAGCCCGCGCGUGGUUCCCAGCGAAGUCCCCGCGCGGCUGGGCCCAGCGCUUCUAAUGUGAGGAAAAACACGGAAUGACAAGUGUGGGAAAGAGCAAGCACUAAAUUACUGUCAGAAAAAUAAACGGAGUAGCACAGUGCUGCUCGGUGAUUUACGGGGGCAAUUAGUCACCACCCCACGGCGCUGCUGAGGACAGCACGGCAGCAGACAAGUCAGGCCCAUGAGGAAGAAGAGGCUUUGCACUGCUCUCCAGACAACUUUUCAAACAACAAGAGAGGAUAUUUGAGCACAUUAGGUUUUGUGUCUUCAUUCUGGCCGUGUGAAGAUGUGCCUGCUUCGCCUUCCAUCAUGACUGAAGUUUCCUGAGGCCUCCCCAGCUAUGCUCCCUAUACAGCCUGCAGAACGGUCGGCUGCCUCCAAUCCUGAGGUCAUCACUCAUCAAGAGGGGAUAAUCCCAGGGACAGCAGGAUCUGCUUCGUUACUUGGAUUUAGGAGCCAGAAACCCAUCAGGCAACUAAACAGUAACAAUGACCCGCCAUUAAACACACUGAGAGAAGAGCAUGAUGAAGAGUUUGUACAAGAAGAAGCCAGGAGCACUUGCUGACAAUGCUUACAGAGACGCAGGCUUCUAUGAGCUCUGCCUGUUGAACUGCAGUAAAAAUAGAUCUCCUUCCCCAGAGAGGCUUGGAUGUGGGCACAAUAUCAGUUCAGACGAUGGUCAAUGCAUGUACUUAAUAGAGUGAAAAGACUUUGGACUGUGAAGUCAGAUUACCUGGGUCUGAAUUGUUAUUCUUCUACUUCUUUGUAGUAUGCUUUCACCACAUUAAAAAUUGUCUGAGCCUCAAUUUUUUUAUCUGCAAAAUGGAGCUAAUACCUACACAGGGGCUUUUAAGAGAAUCAAAUGCAACAAUGUUUGAAAAGCAACAUACUCCCCUUUAUGGAAAAAGAGCCUGUAAAGGAACCAAUACAAUGGCUGGGCGUGGUGACUCACACCUGUAAUCCUAGCACUUUGGGAGGCCGAGGUGGGUGGAUUGCCUGAGCUCAGGAGUUCGAGACCAGCCUGGGCAACAUGGUGAAACCCCGACUCUACUAAAAUACAAAAGAUUAUCCUGGCGUGGUGGUGUGCACCUGUUAUCUAAGCUACUUGGGAGGUUGAAGCAGGAGAAUUGCUGGAACCUGGGAGGCAGAGGUUGCAGUGAGCCAAGAUCACACCACUACACUCCAGCCUGAGUGACACAAGACUGUGUCUCAAAAAUAAAUAAAUGAAUAAGUAAAUAAAUACAAAAUAAAUAAAAUAAAGGAACCAAUACAACAAA